CCCUUAGAUGUUCUGGGCCACACGCGCGCUACAAUGAUGAAUUCAACGAGUUUAUAACCUUGGUUGAAAAGCCUGGGUAAUCUUUUGAACUUUCGUCGUGAUGGGGCUAGACCCUUGCAAUUAUUGGUCUCCAACGAGGAAUUCCUAGUAAACGCAAGUCAUCAGCUUGCAUUGAUUACGUCCCUGCCCUUUGUACACACCGCCCGUCGCACCUACCGAUUGAAUGGUCCGGUGAAAUCUUCGGAUUGAGACUUUGAUUUGUUUACUCAAAACGCUGUUUCAAGAAGUUGAUUAAACCUUACCAUUUAGAGGAAGGUGAAGUCGUAACA
rnacentral:rRNA from 1 species